UUUUUUUUUCUAGGUUAAAAUGACUUAUAUACUAGAAGAUGGGCAUCGGAGGUGGGCCUGGGUGAGCACAACCCACCAGGGCGCGCCUGGGCUCCCUGGCGCGCCCAGGUGGGUUGUGCCCACCUGGUGGGCCCCCUCUAGUACUUAUUGGCUCCAUUAUUCUUCAUAUAUUCCAUAUAAAUUCUCCGUAAAGUUUCAGCUUGUUUGGAGUUGUGCAGAAUAGGUAGCCCGACGUAGCUUUUCCAUGUCCAUAUUUCCAGCUGCCGGAAUUCUCCCUCUUUGUGUGUACCUUGCAUAUUAUGAGAGAAAAGGCAUUAGAAUUACUCCAAAAAGCAUUAUUAUGUAUAAAAACAUCAUAAAUAACAGUUGGAAAACAUGAUGCAAACUGGACGUAUCAACUACUCUUGGGUGCUCGGUACCCUAGAGCUUGUUCCUCUUGGGUUCUUGGGCACCCUAGAUGGUUGGUGGUGUCUCGGAGCUCAAUCAUUGUGGUGUAAAGCUCCGACAAGCGUCGAGGUCUCCAAUUAGGCUGUGGAGAUUGCGCCGAGCAAUUUGUACAGGUUCCAGUGAUCGCCCUCAAGGGUUGCCAAGGUGUACGGAUUCGGUGACCGCCCCCAAGGGUUGCCAAGGUGUACGGGUUUGGUGACCGCCCCCAAGGGUUGCCAUUUGGUACGGGUUCGGUGACCGUCCUCAAGGGUCCCUUAGUGGAAUCACGACAUCUUGCAUUGUGCGAGGGUGUGAGGAGAUUACGGUGACCGUCCUCAAGUUGUCUGUCGGCCAUCCUGAGAGAGAUCCUCGGCGUACAUGGAUGGAGUAUGGCGAACAAGGCAACAGUGCUCGGUACCUGACCAUCGCAUACGCUUAGGACAAGGUGAAGGUCUACAUGAGCAAGGCUAGUACGUUGUACAAGAUCUUCACUAACGAGCUGGACAACCUGAUACCUUACCAGGUAUACCAAGUAGCUUACAAAUCGUUUUGUAGCCAUUUUCACGGUUCUUCAACCUUCACUGGUGAGUACAUUGUUCUCUAUUUGCCAUGUUUUCGUUUGUGUUUGACAUUAUCAGGACAUCCACUGCUUCUUAUGCCUUGCAGGAAGAGUAGGAAGAAUUGUCUGUCGAUCACAGACUAGGGGCACGAGCACGCGGAUCACGUGAUAGCAUGGGAUGAGAGGAGGUAUCGCAAAGACGGCGAGAGGAGAGCGGUUGACUGGGACGCGUACAGUGAAGAACACAUGAAGUGGUCUGGCGAUGGCGUGAAGUACCGUUUGCGCCUGAGGCCACAGCGGACGUCAGCCGAUAUCGCCGAAUUGGAGGAGGAUCACUCCGAGGAUGAAGCCUACCGUGACCAGCUUAGAUAGCUCAAAGGUGAUUUCAGGGAGUAUGCACCCCUGAUGAACAGAGUGUUAAGUGGUGUUCUCUAUUGUUUUGAGCUGUCAGCGGUUGGGUGAAAACUGCUUUAAUCAGUGUCACUCACAUAGAAAUGAUGCUUACAUGUGCAGGCUUUGGAGCUUAAAGCAUUCUUGAUGGCUCGAACGUGCUUGCAUAUGACCCCGGAACCAUGGAAUCUGACAGCAACCUGAUGGGAAUGAUGAAGGUAAAUUCGAGCCUCCUAGCCAUGUUAUAGUUUAAUUGUAACCCUAAAGUUAAUCUGUAUUAUGUUCUUGGUUGUUUGCUAUUGCAGAAGUUCAUGACCCGUUGUCGUAAGAUAGUGGGUAUGCUUGGGUGCGCUCGCGCGAACCGAUGUCCAUGAUCCAGCUCAUGGAGGGUCGAUGUGUGUCAUCACUUCAUCGGGCCACGCCGGCGGAGCUUCUUCUACCCAUGUCGCCUCAUCGUCUCACGUUGUCGAGGAGGUCGAAGAAGAAGAUGACGAGGAAGAGGAAGAAGCAAACGAUGAAGAAGAGGAAGAGGAGCAAGCCGAUGAAGGAGGUGGCAAGGAGGAGGAGUAUGACGACGAUGACGGACCUCCAUCGACUCAGCCAACCUAGGAGAAGAGAGGGAAACAGCCGAAGAAGGACUGGAAGGGUCCAUCCCCGUUUCAGAAAGAGCGUACUCGUCGUCGCACGAAGAAGCCAGACGAACGCUGCUCGAAGAGAAACGGGGACCGUACCGCCAAGAGCGAGAGGAACAAGUGAUAUGCUCGUGUUGAACUCGCUUAGUUGAACUAGUUGUGAACAAGAACUUGUAUGCUAUGUUGAUGUUGUCGAUUUGCUACCUUUUAACUAUGCUGAACCUAUUUGAUAUGUCGAUUUGAUACCUACCUAUUUGGUGUUGUCGAUUUGCUACCUACAAUGUGUGAGAUCAUCAUAUUUCGAUUUGCAAAUACUAUUUGCUGAUGUGUUGAACUAUCAUUCAUAUUUGUAGUUGAAAUGAUCAAGAUCUUCUCAAAAAAUAAGUGCCAGAGGACCCUACCGCCAGGCUCUCCGGCGUAGGGUCUCACAGCCUACCGCAAAAUAUUUGCAAUUUCCCGUUACAGUACACCCUACCACUAGACUCCCUGGCGGUAAGUUGUGAUACCCUAUCGCAGAAAAUAGUGCAUUUUCUGUUACAGAACGCUGGAGCACGCGCAUGGCCUAGCACACCCUACCACCGCGGUAGGUGGUGGUAGCCUUAGCUACCCUACCGCCGUUAACCAUGGCAGUAUAGCCGUUAGGCCACGUCAGCCCCAAUAGGGUUGGCUCACGGCGGCUGUCGUUAAGCUACCGCCCCUCGUUUUGGCGGUAGCCUUUACAACUCUACCGCCAUUGACCCUGACGGUAGGAAAAGGGUCAGGUCCCGAAAUCUCCCUAAUAAUAAAGCACGGAUUGACUCCGUGGGUUCACCGUCACAAUACGCUUCCGCCCAGUCGUAAUACGCUUUUACGAUUUUUAUAGACAAAAUCGUAAUAUAAACGAGGUGGUACUAAAAUUCUGUUUUGCUUUAUAUACUGGGCUUGGGCGUUAAAAAGUUCAUAUCUGGUUCGAACCAAUGACCUUCUCUCUGGUAGCCUGCAAUGGAAGGAACGUGAUGACCAACUGCGACAGCUAAUUUUUGUGAACAAAUUCGAGUUGCGCCGUAUUUGUAUAUGCUCUUCAAUCUGUAAUUAGAUCAGGAUUGGGCCUGGGCCAUUGCUCUAGCGGUUGGGCCGCGUGCACAUGGCUUCAUCAACGUACAAAAAAUAGAGCCCACCCUACAGUAUUAAUGUCUUUGGAUAUUUCAUGAAUAAUCCCACAUGGCUCCAAUCACAUUAUUUUCACUGAUUUAUAUAUGUUUAACAACAUUGUAUGGUGUGAGCUAAUUAAAAGGACUCCUUCACAUGGAAGAGGGGAAGUGCUUUGGAGGCUUGGAGGCUGCAUGAUACAUGGGUAUAUUGAAAAUUCGCUUAAGAAGUUGUGGCUCAUAUGUGAUGCAAGAGGUGCUUUGGUUGGGCUUAAUAUUGAUGCAAGAGGCUCAUGUGUGCAUGCGUGCAAUAGUAGGCUGGGAUACUUCAAAGAAUUUGUGGCUUUGUUGGGAAAUGGAAUGAUGGAAGUUCAACGAAGUUGUGGCUUCGUUGAAAAUGAUGGAAGCGGUGCUUGAUCGUUGCUUGCACGCAAUAUAUGCAUGCACAGUAGUGCAAAAGGGAAGCUAUAAAGAAUAUUAGUAUUCUAUGCAUGUGUCCGGUACUGAGAAAGUGCAAAGCCGGCGAUCUCUAAGCUGCCCACAAAACCCCACAACACCGGCUUGAUACGUGAAAUUUGUAUCAUUUUUUCGUCCUCUCCGCUCUAUCUUCUAAAAAAAUAUGCACCUGAUAUAUGCUUUCUGUAGAAUUUGGCGUGCAACUCUCUGUCACCAGAUGAGACAGUCCGGAUGCUACACUGUUCAUGCCAACCGAAGACAUGCCCUGUUUCAACUUCCGUCCGGGCUCCACGCUCAUUCACUCCAACACCAGAGAUAGAGAUCAACAUCACGAACGGUUGUGGACGUCUUUGCGAUGCCGUUUUCAACACCUCAACUCUGCGCUCAUCCAUGCCGGCACUAUGUUCGAACCGCAUUGUCGCCUGAUUCAUCGCAACCGUGUUUGCUCCGAUCAUAAACAUGCUUACAUGUUGCAUUCAAGUAGGACGGUGCAAGGACACUUUUUCUCCCGUUGCAACCCACGGGCAUGUUUUGCUAGUACUAUCAAACCGGGGUCAAAACCUUUUUGAAAAAGACAAAACAUGAAAAUCGGCCACCGAGAGAACAAACCAGCAUGGGCAAGCAGCCCUCGGCCCGUGCUCCGCAACAGCGUUACAGGGAGUUCUUAGCAGAAGCACGGAUGGAGUAACGGCAGAGCCAAAAAACCAGGAUGGCCAUCUCCCCUCUGAACACCACGACGGCUCUAGCAGCGGCCGGACACGUUCGUCCCAUUCCGUCGGGUCUCACUCGGGAGACAGUGCACGCAGGUCGCCAGUGUCGGAUCAUCCAUCCUCCGCGCCCGUCGCGCGCACUGUACCUGGAACGGUACUGAUGCCGCGUUCGUUGCCCGGUCGGUGUCCGCGACUGUAGGGGCUGCCCCUGUACGACCGGUAAAAUAUAGGCCGGUCCGUCCCGAGUUCCCUACGUGUGGCCAGCUCGUAAGCUUCGAAGAUUGCAACUAAACUAAAUUUAUAAUUGAACGCCCUGUCUGAAUCAGACUUCCAGUCAGAUUCCUAAGACUUUUGCUGCUUGGCAAGCAGAGAUCUGUCCGUCACUGUUGCCGGUGGGCGGUGCCCUGGUAUAAUUACACGCGGUUCAUCGGCCGAUCCAUCAACUAUGGCCCUACUCAACGAACUAUAUUCACCAGCGUAUGUCGAUCCGUUUACGUCGCUAAAUUAGCAUUGCAGGAUGCCACCUUUUCUCCUCCGUGGCAUCCGUUCAUCCAUGUGUGUGUCAGCUCCCCUCCCGCUGUGCAAUUAUUUUGCGAUCGAUCGAUCUAGCAACCUGGAUGCACGGAGGUACUAUUCGCAUGCAAUGCAAUGGCCCCAAAUAACUGUGCGUGCGUACGAGAGAGAGUUGGGACCAACGUAGCAGCAGCUGCGUGGCUACGAGCCGAGCUUGUCAGCUGCGGGGACGUGAUGAUGCGUUUGCAUGUGCUACCUGCGCCUCUGAUUAAUCCAUGGCCACCUUUUAUUACUGUACCUUUGAACUUGCACUACACCCACGGUUAUACCGUGAAGGAUGGACGACGUGUGUCUUGAGAAGAGAAUGUAUCAGAGGAAUUAUUAGGGGGCCAUCGGCUGGUGGAGGAGUUGGAUUGCUCACCGGCCGGGACUAUGUGCCACAUAUCGUGGGAUUUGUCCGUUGGCGCGUUGAUCAGAUCACCCAAAGAGCUCAUCACCAAGCCGCUCAGUGCACUGGCGGCGUACGUUUCGGCUUUAGUUUGGUGUGUGUGUGUGUGUGUGUGGUGCCAUGUGGGUGCAUUGUAUGAGUUGUAUCAUGACAAAGCCUAACUAUUUGUUAGAAUGCUACGUGCUACCCUGCUGCAUGAGAAUGUGCCUGAUGUCUACCCUGUAUGGCUGUGUAUAUAUAAUGAGGCUAGUUAACCCGGUCAAUGACCCUUAUAGAAUAUUCUAGUGUCAUGACAGCUAUCUAGUGUCAAUUGCGGAAGCAACGGUACUCCCAUAGAAAAGUUGAAUCGUAAUACAGUAUAUAGAGUAUAAUACUAGGUCAGUAGCUAAGGCAUUCCUAACCUAUAGUUUCCUAGGACUAAUCAUGAAAAGCCUUUUUCCAAAGGACCAUCCUACGCCCAAAAUAGUGGCACUAUCAGUAUAUAAUUAAGAGAUGCUAUAUGCACUCCUGUAAACCCGUAAUCAUGCAUCGGCUGUUAAGAUCCCGAUCGGCGCGAAGGAUGUAUAGCUAGGCUAGCUCGCACGUACGUACCGGAAUGCACGCUGAUGGCGACUGGGAGUGGCAGGAUACAAGUGAUGUAUUACGGUUAAGUCAGUGGUGCUCGCAUGUCUUUUUUUUUUGAAAUUAGUGGUGCUCGCAUGUCAGUGACCAGCCGAGGCGGUGGGCGAGGUGUCCCGUACGCUGUCGUUUGUCAGCACGCGCGUUCUCUUCUGGAUCUGGAAACGCCCCAAAUGAUGCGGCGGCCGCGGGAAGGAGGAGGUCGACGGAGGCUACUCGGCCAUCUGCCCGACACGGCACGUGCCAGCGCUUGGCCCCCCUCCUCCCAUGUGCGCCCAUCCAUCCAUCCAUCAUUUAUUUCCGGACGGCCCUACCGACCAGUACGCCCUGCCAAACACCACUCAGGGGUACGUACUCCUACAUGCCCACUGCUACUGAUCCACUCCGUCCCAACCACAACCAGCCAUGUGCUUGUCGACCACGGCAACGCCACCUCAUCCCAUGGGGAGUCUCGAGGCGGGAGAUCGUGCAAGGCUGCUCCUUCGCUCGUGGCUAGCUGUGGAUCUUGAGAUUUUAUAAACAAUCGGUGUACGUGUGCUAUCUUUUUGUUUGGUACUGAUUCGGAAAAGAGGGCGAGCGGCGUAAAGGAGGUGCAAGCAAAGACGGGGCUGCCGCUUUGCAGAAACCACACGGCUCUCUCGCCCAAAGCAAAUCUGGCGCCUCGCGCCAUUUCCAAGAAACAAAGUCAUAUGCUGGGUCAGAGGACCUCUGAUCAAAAGUUACCCAUAUGUAUUACCAGCUGGAUAUGCUCGUCACGGUUUCGGUCUAGAUGAAGUCUGUUAGGUGCAAACAUAGCCAGGGGAGUAACAACUCGUGUGCAAAUUCGUUGUUCGCGGGAACAUGCGUGUACAAUUAUAUACUUGAACGAAAGACAUGGGCACACAAAAAUAGCAUAAUGUAGCGGUAUUUUUUGCGUUCGCGCCAAAUUUAUCCAACUCCACCCUGCUGAUGGACGAGUUGAUGUGACUUCUGACAACAACCUCCGAACGAACUUGUGGAUUUUUCACGCUCACUGACUCUAUACACACACGCAACAACUUACAAAAGACAAUACUCGCAUAGUAUUACAGAAAAGACCGAAUAUUACUAAUACUAAUUUUGUUAAUUAACCGGCAACAGUAGCAAUGGCCAUUAUUAAGCUCUUGUUUUGCUCUCUGCUUUUCCAUAUUUUGGGGGAUUUCUGGAGUGCUUUUACUUUUAC
rnacentral:lncRNA from 1 species